AAGAUAUUAAAAUACUUUAUUAAAGUCGGGAUUAUUUACAAGUCACAAUAGAAAUAAAAAACAUGGCACCAGUUUUUCUUACAUAAAUGUGGAAGACUCACAGCAAACAGCCAUCCCUGAAAACGUUGUUCUUCCUAAACAUUCCUUAACAUGUAUUAAGCAUAAAUGACAAAUAUUUUAUCUAAAUAGCACUAAGGCAUUACCCACAAGCUACCACUUGUCUAGUAGUUUCUUAGCCCUGUUAUUUCAGAAAUAGUUCUGUAGACAUGGAAACUGUGGCCACAGCAGGUUGUAGCAGGCUUCAAGGUUCACGUCAGGGACCAUCUGUCAUGACCGUGAGGCUCAUGCUGCCUACAAGUGCAAAGCAAAUGAAUUCACCAUUUUCGAGGUAACACCAAGAGUGUGGAGGAGGAAGCUGGGCUUGGUGCUCAAGCCUGUAAUCCCAGCACUCAGGAGGCAGGGCUACCAAGAGUUGUAGGCAAGACUGGAUAAUAAACAUAUUGAAUUAUUCCAGGCCCCUGGGCUAGAGGGGUGUCCUGUCUAAACAAUACCUGCCUGGGGUGGGGGUGGGGGUGGGGAGUGAUAAGAGGGUGUCAAAGAAAAAUGACACAGGGAAGACACAUGUGGCCCAAAGCCCUGCAUCUGAGUCUAUAUGACCACUUCUUUCCCUGCUGGGGUUAGAGGGUAUCCACAUGCUUUGCUUAUUCCCAGUGGGUUCCAGGUCCUGCCAUGUAAGGCACUCCACACUCUUCUUGUUUCUUUUCCUUCCUAUUUUUAAAUGGGGUCCCCAUCGUUGCUAAUGUCCAACUCAAGUGAUUCCCUCAUCUCAGCCUUCCAAGUUCAGCCGAACACUAACUACCAUGUCUGACUUCCAAACCUCCUUUUCAAGGUAGUUACCAUCUGGUCUCCAACAGCAACAGAAUCCGUAAUCAAGCCACAAAGAUGCCACUGGGUUACCACAACUGCUUAAGUUCCCCCAAAGAAAUAAUGUCUGCUACAAGAAUACAAGCAAAAAGGUUUGGACAUACUUUAAAGUGCAAUGGCUACUUUGUGCGCUUAUCCCUUAGUUUCAGUGUCUACCUAAGGUAAGAGCUCAGCAAACCUGCCGCUGUCCUCUCCUGUGUUCAGACAAACUCUUAGCAUUCAAAUACAGGCAAUCAUCUUGAACCCGAGUUCAAAGGAAUACUAGAAGGUAUAAUUUUCUGUGUGCAUACUUCGACUUGUACCACUCAGUUCAGAAGAGUUGUGGGCACAGCUAAGGACCAUUUUAACUCUGGUAUCCAUUUCAGCACACGUUUCUUUCUGGAACAAAAAGGUUGAGAACAAUUACGUAACCCAUUCCCAAACCCUUCAUGGGUAUCAAGGCCUAGGGGGAUUCUCUGGCCUAUGUGCGUCCUUUCAUUCACCAAACCUGAAUCACCCAUGACAAGUAGGGUAGGCUAAAGAGAACAUAAUUGAUGAGCUGAGGGCUAUGCCCUUGAAUGGGAGAUAAUAUGGCAAAAUGGAACAGUGGGACCUAAAGAGCUAUCCCAGGCAAAGCCACCACUGCUGACAGAACAAGAAUGUGGGUGGAGAACUAAGUUCUUUCUUAUUUCAAGGUAACCAAGUUAUCAAAGUCGCUAAACUUUUCCUGGCUUUGAUCACUAUGUUCUCAUGAGGAAAGGAAAACUGUAAAGUUUUAUGCCGGUGCCUCUCGUGUUCCCAUUAAUGGGAGUCAUGUUCUAUGAAUUCAGUUAGGUCAGACCC
ensembl:lncRNA